rnacentral:lncRNA from 1 species
ACUACUUGACAUCCAUUUCUGAACUGAAUGACCAUUCCCUUACACAGUGAUAACGUAGCUGUUGACACGUGGUCCUCAAGGUUUUAUCAAACGAUAUGGCUGCUUGGAAAUUAACAAGGUUUCCAGAACAACUGCUCAGCAUAAAAUAGAUAUUUGGCCUGAUAAACAAAUGAAAUAGAAGAGAGACAAAAUGGGAAAAAUAAGGAAGAAUUUGACUUGAAAAAAUUGAACUAUGCCUUUAUUUAUGCAUUCAUGAGCUUUAGUCACGCCAACACCAGCCUCUUGUCAUAGAAAUCUAUAAACAAACUUGGUCUGCCAAAUAUCACAGUUUGUUGAGCACAAGAAAUAGUGCUGAAAAAAAAUAUUCUCGAAAAUAUAGCAUUUCAUGCAGUUUCAAUGUGCUUCGAUUAUUUAUUGUCAAUAACUUAAAAUUCAGAUCUGAAACUCAGAGUAUGAAAGGUCUGCAACACAAAGUCUCUAUUGAAAUUAAGCACUACCUCAACCAAAUGUUAGAAAAGUAAAAAUUCAAAGCAAUAGAAUAAAUCCUAAAAUGUCUCAAUCUUUGUUACAAUAUUUCAGAUUCUACAUCAGUAUAAACUGAAAAUUAAAAAUCCUUUGGGUCUAUUAGACAAAGAUAUCCAUGCAUCUCUGUAAAGCAAUGCUAAUAGUACUCCAAUCCAAUCACCUGUAAAUAAACUUUUACCUCUUCUUCUUAGUUCAUUCAAGUCCAUUCAUUCACCUAGAGCAGUGUUGUGAAUCAUCAAAAAGAAUGCACAAGAACUAGCGGCUUUUAAAUGCACAAGAACUAGCGGCUUUUAAAUGCACAAGAACUAGCGGCUUUUAAAUGCACAAGAACUAGCGGCUUUUAAAUGCACAAGAACUAGCGGCUUUUAAAUGCACAAGAACUAGCGGCUUUUAGUUUUUGUGUAUUUUCUUUUACAUCCUAUUGACAAUGCCUUCAAUUACACCAACUUUCAAUAUACAUUCAGCUGUAAGAAUUAAUUUCUUGUUUGACGUAAAAUUUAUUCAUGGUAGAAAUUAAAAAGAAAAAGAUAAGCAAGCACAAAACUCUAUUUAUUUUGCAUGACCUCCAAGCAAAUAGAGAAAUUGAACAGAUAAUUUCUUUUUCCACAGCAAUUAAACCCUCAAAAUUGUACAAAUCAAAAGUGCCAAAAUCUAAAAUUUCUUUAACAAGCUCUUCCAAGAAAAUAAUAACGGGCAACAAGAAAUCUUUCCUAUAAAAAGAGUUCACAAUGCUUCUCAGCCCAAAGAAAACACAGAAUAAAUCUCUCACAUUCCUCCAACAUCAGAUACAAAUUCCCCUCCAAAAAAAAAAAAUCAGAUGCAAAUUCCUCAUUCUACAAAUCAAAGAAUUUUCAUAAAACGAGUUCAAUAACAAGGUUAUUCGACCUUGCUCAACCCGCAAUGCCAAUCCUCUUUAGCACACUAAAAUUAGACACAUUAUGGUCACCUACAAAUCUUCCUCUCUUUUCUUCUUGGAUAAAAUAUAUAGAUCUAAAUUCAAGGUCACCAAUAUUUAUUCAAAGAAUACGUAUAACGAACACACAGAACCAUUUCAAUAACCCAAUAGGCAAAAAAGUUCUUUGCAGCUUAUUAACAUUGCAUUUUCUCAAACUAACAAAUGUAAACAAACCCAUUUAACAUAAAUCUUAUACAGAAAAACCAUUCAAAAACGCAUAAAUUACGAAACCCAGAAAGAAAAUAAAAGAGGACAGAGAGAAGGGAGUGGGCAUACCUUUUCAAGGUUGUUUAUGGUUGCAUUUGGGUAAAAAAUAAAUCUAAAGAUGUUUUCUUGGGAGGGGUUUCAGAGAGAAAGAGACCGCGUUUAUAUUUUGAUAAUUACUAUUGUAUUGGUAU